UCCGGGGUCGUCUAAUGGUAGGACAACGGAAUUUGGAUCCGUUAAUCGGGGUUCGAGUCCCUGCCCCGGAA
rnacentral:tRNA from 1 species